CACUCCUACGGGAGGCAGCAGUGAGGAAUAUUGGACAAUGGGUGGAAGCCUGAUCCAGCCAUCCCGCGUGCAGGAAGACGGCCCUAUGGGUUGUAAACUGCUUUUAUCUGGGGAUAAACCUACUUACGUGUAAGUAGCUGAAGGUACCAGAAGAAUAAGCACCGGCUAACUCCGUGCCAGCAGCCGCGGUAAUACGGAGGGUGCAAGCGUUAUCCGGAUUUAUUGGGUUUAAAGGGUCCGUAGGCGGACUGAUAAGUCAGUGGUGAAAUCCGACAGCUUAACUGUCGAACUGCCAUUGAUACUGUUAGUCUUGAGUAAGGUUGAAGUGGCUGGAAUAAGUAGUGUAGCGGUGAAAUGCAUAGAUAUUACUUAGAACACCAAUUGCGAAGGCAGGUCACUAAGUCUUAACUGACGCUGAUGGACGAAAGCGUGGGGAGCGAACAGGAUUAGAAACCCGAGUAGUCCCAUGA
rnacentral:rRNA from 1 species